rnacentral:rRNA from 1 species
UACGGAGGGUGCGAGCGUUGUCCGAAAUCACUAGGCGUAAAGGGCGCGUAGGCGGCGCGGGUAGUCAUCGGUGAAAGUUCAGGGCUCAACUCUGAAUCGGCCGGUGAUACUCCCGUGCUCGAGCACUGUAGAGGCAGGUGGAAUUCCGGGUGUAGCGGUGGAAUGCGUAGAGAUCCGGAAGAACACCGGUGGCGAAGGCGGCCUGCUGGGCGAGUAGCUGACGCUGAUGCGCGACAGCGUGGGGAGCAAACAGGAU